UAAGGUAUAGCAUAAGAAUAAAUGCUUUUUAUUUACACUAAAAAGAAGGUUCAUUUGACCUACCUUAA
rnacentral:tRNA from 1 species